rnacentral:rRNA from 1 species
GAGGGCAUACAGUCCUCGCUUUUCUGAACCGUAAGGUGGUUCAGGAACAAGUGCUGGGCAAGACCGGUGCCAGCCGCCGCGGUAAUACCGGCAGCACGAGUGAUGGCCGAUAUUAUUGGGCCUAAAGCGUCCGUAGCUGGCCGGACAAGUCCGUUGGGAAAUCCACCCGCUUAACGGGUGGGCGUCCAGCGGAAACUGUCCGGCUUGGAGCCGGAAGACCUGAGGGGUACGUCCGGGGUAGGAGUGAAAUCCCGUAAUCCUGGACGGACCGCCGGUGGCGAAAGCGCCUCAGGAGGACGGACUCGACAGUGAGGGACGAAAGCCAGGGUCUCGAACCGGAUUAGAUACCCGGGUAGUCCUGGCUGUAAACGAUGUCCGCUAGGUGUGGCGCAGGCUACGAGCCUGCGCUGUGUCGUAGGGAAGCCGUGAAGCGGACCGCCUGGGAAGUACGUCUGCAAGGAUGAAACUUAAAGGAAUUGGCGGGGGAGCACUACAACCGGAGGAGCCUGCGGUUUAAUUGGACUCAACGCCGGACAUCUCACCAGCACCGACAAUGUGCAGUGAAAGUCAGGUUGAUGACCUUACUGGAGCCGUUGAGAGGAGGUGCAUGGCCGCCGUCAGCUCGUACCGUGAGGCGUCCUGUUAAGUCAGGCAACGAGCGAGACCCGCACUCCUAGUUGCCAGCAAUACCCUUGUGGUAGUUGGGUACACUAGGAGGACUGCCGCUGCUAAAGCGGAGGAAGGAACGGGCAACGGUAGGUCAGUAUGCCCCGAAUGUGCUGGGCAACACGCGGGCUACAAUGGUCGGGACAAUGGGAUGCCAUCUCGAGAGAGAGCGCUAAUCCCCUAAACCCGGUCGUAGUUCGGAUUGAGGACUGAAACUCGCCC